UACGUAGGGUGCGAGCGUUAAUCGGAAUUACUGGGCGUAAAGCGUGCGCAGGCGGUUCGUUGUGUCGGUGGUGAAAGCCCCGGGCUCAACCUGGGAAUGGCCAUGGAAACUGGCGAACUGGAGUGUGGCAGAGGGGGGUGGAAUUCCGCGUGUAGCAGUGAAAUGCGUAGAGAUGCGGAGGAACACCAGUGGCGAAGGCGGCUGCCUGGGCCUGGCCUGACGCUGAGGCGCGAAAGCGUGGGGAGCAAUCCGG
rnacentral:rRNA from 1 species